rnacentral:rRNA from 1 species
AUAGAGACUCAGAGCUGCAUAUCAAUAAGCGGAGGAAAAGAAACUAACAAGGAUUCCCUAGUAACGGCGAGUGAAGCGGGAAGAGCUCAAAUUUGAAAUCUUCAAGGUUUCCCUUGACGAAUUGUAGUUUAUAGAAGUGUUUUCUGUUAGAGAGGUGGUAAAAGUUCUUUGGAAUAGGACAUCAUAGAGGGUGAGAAUCCCGUAUUUGGAUCACUUCCUACUAGCGUUGUCGAUACACUUUCAAAGAGUCGGAUCGUUUGGGAAUGCAGUCCAAAAUGGGUGGUAAAUUUCAUCUAAAGCUAAAUAUUGGCGAGAGACCGAUAGCGAACAAGUACCGUGAGGGAAAGAUGAAAAGAACUUUGAAAAGAGAGUUAAACAGUACGUGAAAUUGUCAAAAGGGAAGCGUUUGGCACCAGUGUUGUUUUUCCGAAAAUCAAUUAAGAAUGUUUUAUUUUUGAGGAGUUAUGACUUCAUCGGCUUGCUCCUUUCUUCUCAGGAAAUUAUUGAAUGCACUUUUCAGUUAACAAGUCAACAUCAAUUUCUUUUGUUGUAAAAGAGUAUGAGGAAGGUGGCUUUCUCUUCGGCGCAAGUGUUUAUAGCCUUGUAUCUUCUGCAAUCGGAGAGAUUGAGGUCUGCAGCGUAGAUCCUUCGGGGUUAGAUACAUUGUGCUAAGCUAUAGCCUUGUAUAGACAACUUGUUGAUUAUGAUUAAGUCUUGUAGCUUACUCGCUUAUGCUAUUUUACCUACGCUUAGGAUGUUGAAGAUAUGCGCGACACG